rnacentral:rRNA from 1 species
UACGGAGGGUGCGAGCGUUGUCCGGAAUCACUGGGCGUAAAGGGCGCGUAGGCGGCAUGCCAAGCGUGUGGUGAAAGCCCGGGGCUCAACCCCGGGUCGGCCGUGCGGACUGGCAUGCUCGAGCACUGUAGGGGCGGGUGGAAUUCCGGGUGUAGCGGUGGAAUGCGUAGAGAUCCGGAAGAACACCGGUGGCGAAGGCGGCCUGCUGGGCGGCGACUGACGCUGAGGCGCGACAGCGUGGGGAGCAAACAGG